rnacentral:rRNA from 1 species
UACGUAGGUCCCGAGCGUUGUCCGGAUUUAUUAGGCGUAAAGCGAGCGCAGGUGGUUUAUUAAGUCUGGUGUAAAAGGCAGUGGCUCAACCAUUGUAUGCAUUGGAAACUGGUAGACUUGAGUGCAGGAGGGGAGAGUGGAAUUCCAUGUGUAGCGGUGAAAUGCGUAGAUAUAUGGAGGAACACCGGUGGCGAAAGCGGCUCUCUGGCCUGUAACUGACACUGAGGCUCGAAAGCGUGGGGAGCAAACAGG